rnacentral:rRNA from 1 species
UGGGGAAUAUUGCACAAUGGGCGCAAGCCUGAUGCAGCCAUGCCGCGUGUGUGAAGAAGGCCUUCGGGUUGUAAAGCACUUUCAGCGGGGAGGAAGGGAGUAAAGUUAAUACCUUUGCUCAUUGACGUUACCCGCAGAAGAAGCACCGGCUAACUCCGUGCCAGCAGCCGCGGUAAUACGGAGGGUGCAAGCGUUAAUCGGAAUUACUGGGCGUAAAGCGCACGCAGGCGGUUUGUUAAGUCAGAUGUGAAAUCCCCGGGCUCAACCUGGGAACUGCAUCUGAUACUGGCAAGCUUGAGUCUCGUAGAGGGGGGUAGAAUUCCAGGUGUAGCGGUGAAAUGCGUAGAGAUCUGGAGGAAUACAGGUGGCGAAGGCGGCCCCCUGGACAAAGACUGACGCUCAGGUGCGAAAGCGUGGGGAGCAAACAGG